rnacentral:rRNA from 1 species
CCUACGGGGGGCAGCAGUGAGGAAUAUUGGUCAAUGGACGAGAGUCUGAACCAGCCAAGUAGCGUGAAGGAUGACUGCCCUAUGGGUUGUAAACUUCUUUUAUAAAGGAAUAAAACGAGGCAAGUGUGCCUUUUUGCAUGUACUUUAUGAAUAAGGAUCGGCUAACUCCGUGCCAGCAGCCGCGGUAAUACGGAGGAUCAGAGCGUUAUCGGGAUUGAUUGGGUUUAAAGUGAGCGUGGAUGGAUUGUUAAGGCAGUUGUGAAAGUUUGCGGCUCAACCGUCAAAUUGAAAUUGAUACUGGCAGUCUUGAGUACAGUUGAGGUAGGCGGAAUUCGUGGUGUAGCAGUGAAAUGCUUAGAUAUCACGAAGAACCCUGAUGGCGAAGGCAGGUUACUAAACUGUGACUGACAUUGAUGCUCGAAAGUGUGGGUAUCAAAAAGGAUUAGAUACCCGGGUAGUC